GACAGACGGCUGUGCAAAUCGUAGAAGUCGACGCCACGAGUGUGCUACAAGAAGGUGAAAUUUGCUUCACCCAAAGAAGCUUAUAACUCCAUCUCUCUUGAAGUGACUGAAACUACAGUGUUAAUAACAAGUCAAGAAAGCAGAUCUACACAAUGCAAGUCUUAACCACGUUACUUUUGACAAUGGCCACUCUCUUGCUGCUGUCGAAUGCUGUUAAACCGUUACCGGUUGUUCCUGUGGGCGAGGAUGAAACGUCUGCGCAAGGACUUAGAGAUUUACCAGUCGAACAACACCAACAACGCAAGCGGAUCUGUGGAAUGACCUGGAUCGGUUGCGAAAAUCAAAAUGGGAAAAGAUGGAUGCCUUUCCCCAAUAGGCGAAAAAAUGCAGAUGAUCUUCCUUACAGAAAGUAAAUAACCAAGAUUAUUAACCUCGAGGGAAACAAUUUAUCGAUGACUGUUGACACUAUAUGCACACGACGUAUAUAACGUUAAUAAUAUAUAUUUCAUUCUUGUAAUAUUUACCUAAUAACGAAGAAUAGACGAAGAAUAGACGUACUUAGUAGAAACAACAAAGAAAUAUAUACAUUUGGCUGUUUGUCUGUGUCAAAUAACAAUGUCAGUAAAGACAGCCACUGACGUGGCACAAAUCAUAUCA